AUGUCGAAUUAUCUAACAAUAUUAAAAGGAAUAUAUGCUCAACAGAGAAGCAUGCCACGUCGACAAAUUAAUUCAGACCAAUCAAAUUGUUUUAAUGUGCCAUGUCACUUAAACAAAAAAAAAAAUCUAACCGAAGAAUGGCUUCCUUCCUCUCUUUUCGUUGUCUUUCCAGUUUUUCUCCAUCCCACUUCUUAGCUGUUCCAAGUUUUUAUUCCAUUAACUUCAUCCAUUAUUGCCUUCUUCAAAACAGAAAUCAUAGAUUUUUCUUCGACUUCCCGUUUUCCCUCUAUAAAACAGAUGCAAAAUGAAAUAAUAUCUAAGAAACUAUGCGUACCACCGAGAAUUACAGCAAAACAAACAGGCACAUCAGCUGAUGACAAUGAAAUUGGAGUUGAGAUCGCCAUGAGGGUGAUUAGAUUCGCCAAGGGCUAGUUUCCCCUUUUGAACUCUUCCCAAAAUUGCAACGGGACAACUGUUCUCUCGGACCAUACAAGCUUUGUUCUACAACUAUAAUCAGCUUCCUGUUCAACGAAUGCUUGACUUUGACUUCCUAUGUGGUAAACAUUUAACAAACUACACUGUCCUAUGUUGGUUUCGUUUUGAUCAGUUUUAGAUUUUGACUUCAAAGCUUUAUACAUGACGUUAAACGCCUUCUCUUGCUGGAAUAAUUGUUUAAAGCAUCAAACUUGAAGGUUGGAUUUUGUGGUUACCAUUCCUAGCUUUCUUAAGCUUCACGCAGCAGUGUAGAGGAGAUUCAGAGCCGUAAGAACUGCUAGACAGACUGUGCGAGAGCUGUUCUUGCUGUUGGUGCAGCUUCAAGAUCUGAAGCACUGAAGGAAGAAGUAUUAGCAACGAGCCUUCUCGAACUGAAUGGCUUCUUCACCACUUACUUUCCUUCAGAGGCCACUAGAUCUAUUGUAUUUUUUUUGUAGCAACGAGAAUCUAUAUCCUAUAAAUAAAGAUGACGAACUCCCCAAAUCUCUCCGCUUCAUCCAAUCCAUUCUUAUCUCUUCCUUUCAAAUCUUGGAACUUUGAGGACAUGUGGAGAUUCCCUCUUACGUGGAGUUUAUGCAACCAAAUUGCAGUAACAUUGCAUCCUCAUCUUAACUGCAGAAGAUUUGACCGAACUAUCUUCAACCUCCCUCAUUCCGGCUUCCUAGGCAAAGAUAAUGAUUCAGGUCUUACAAAGUAAGUGAGCAUUACUGGUGCUGUUGCUCUUCUCGCAUAUGAUUUUUGUACACUAGAAAAAUUACGUUUCUGCAGUGUAUUUAAAACUAAAUAAGCUCAAACGAAUGUCUUGCAUUAUUUUUUUCUUUACACUAUCACUUAAAAACACAUUUAGAUUGGGGAAAUUUUUUUUUUUUAUGAAAUUUCAAAUUUAUUCAUCCUUCAUGGGAAAAUCAUUUACAAAAGAUUGGAAAAAUUUUUCAAACGACUGAAGUUAUAAGUUUACUGAUUUCAAAGAAUUAUACGGAGUUGCAUUUAUCAAAAGAUAACAAUAUGUAAUAUACAUAGUACAAAUCCAAAUGAUCUAAAAGUUUCAAGGGGUUGACAGUUACCCAAUAACAACUUCCCAUUGUGGACAAAUGGAUACAGCAUCAGAAGAUAUGGAAUAUAUGAAAUAGAAUUUUUCAGACCAUACAUUCAAAUGUUGAUUUAAAAAAAAAUGAAACCAAAAUCUGCAAAAUAUAUUAUGUAAAAACCUAAGUCAUAAUGUGAAAGUGAACUUACCACUAAUCAUGAAAUAAAAACAUAAAAUACAAAUAUAUUUGAAUUAAGCGAGACACAAAUAAAAAAAUAGAAUGAGAAUUAACAUGUCACUAUACUAAACAUCAAUAGUAAGGUCUACAGUCCCCAAAAUCUUGUGUACUCUCAAAACCUUACAACUUUGUUUAUAAUCGUCGGUCUACUAAUUUGACAUCCAAUCAAUGAAUUGGUCUGACCGCACAUUGCCUUACUCCUACUAGCUUCCAGCGAUCUAACAUUGUUGAAGUCGUAACGGUAAACUUAAAUUACAUUAAUUUUGUAAAUUUGGCUUCGUAACGCAAUCCUCAUUUAGUUGAUGUUACUGAUAUUCUCUUUAACAUUCUAAAAACCAAUCUUUCUACUAUGAAAAAAAAAUUAAACUAACUGAUUAUUAUAAUAAUUAAAAAACAUACAUUACUUUUAGUUUAACUUUUCAAUGGAUAAAUGUCAACCGUAGUAGAUGAUUAUGAUUUGUUUGUAUUAACAACAUGAACACAUCACUAUGGAAAUGAAAUAACUAAAAAAAUCAUUGUGAAAAAUGUUUAUAACAAUAAAUUUAUUACAAAUCACACCAAUACAAAUGCAAAAUUAAAACACUAUAUUUUACACCAAAUGCUAAAAUAUUUUACAAAAAAUAAUUAGUAAAACACUAAAAAUUAAAGAAAUUCAUUAUAAAUGGAAAAUCUAAUAUAAACUGAGACACACAUAUAUUCUA